rnacentral:rRNA from 1 species
UACGUAGGGUGCGAGCGUUAAUCGGAAUUACUGGGCGUAAAGCGUGCGCAGGCGGUUUUGUAAGACAGGCGUGAAAUCCCCGGGCUCAACCUGGGAAUUGCGCUUGUGACUGCAAAGCUGGAGUGCGACAGAGGGGGAUGGAAUUCCGCGUGUAGCAGUGAAAUGCGUAGAUAUGCGGAGGAACACCGAUGGCGAAGGCAAUCCCCUGGGCCUGCACUGACGCUCAUGCACGAAAGCGUGGGGAGCAAACAGG